rnacentral:lncRNA from 1 species
GGUUAAUCACAGGAUAUUAAAUAUAGUUCCCUGUUCUAUACAGUAGGACCUUUUUGUUUAUCCAUUCUAUAUAUAAUAGUUUGCAUCUGUUAAUCCUCCAAAAGUUAAUAUUUUUGUUUUCUUUGGAUCAAUCUCAAUGUUAGGUCUAUUUUUAAGUUUUUGAGGGACCUCCAUCCUGUUUUCCAUCGUGGUUGCACCAAGAUUUACAUUCCCAUCAACAGUGCACAAGGAUUCCCUUUUCUCAGCAUCCUCAUCAAUGCUUGUUAUUUGUGACCUUUUUGAUGAUAGCCAUUCUGACAUGUAUCAUUGUGGUUUUGUUCUGCAUUUCCCUAAUGAUUAGUGAUGUUGAGCAUCUUUUCAUGUACCUGUUGGCCAUCCGUGUGUCUUAUCUGGAAGUAUGUCUAUUCAGACCCUUUGUGCAUUUUUUAUUUGGAUUUUUUUUUGUUAUUGAGUUGUAUGAGUUCUUUAUGUAUUUUGAAUAUUAACCCCUUAUCAGGUACAUGACUUAUAGAUGCAUUUCCCAUUCAGUAGGUUGCUGUCUUAUUUUGUUGAUGCAGAAGCUUUGCUGUGCAGAAGCUUUUUAGUUUAACGUAGUCCCAUUUGUUUAUUUUUGAUUUUGUUUUCAUUAUCUGAGUCCAAAAACUAUUGCUAAAACCAGUGUCAAAGAGCAUAUUGCUUAUGUUCUCUUCUCAGAGUUUUAUGGUUUCAAGUCUUACAUUAACGUCAUUAAUCCAUUUUGGGUUUAUUUUUAUGUAUGGUAUGAGCAAGUAGUCCAGUUAAAUUCUUUUAUGUGUAGGUGUCCAGUUUCCUCAACACCAUUUAUUGAAGAAGCUGUUAUUUCUCCAUUGUAUACUCUUUCCUCCUUUGUCUUAGAUUAAUUGACCACAUAAGUGUGGGUUCAUUUCUGGGCUCUCUUCUGUUCCAUUGAUCUAUGUGUCUGUCUUUGUACCAUACCAUACUGUUUUGAUUACUAUAGCUUUGUAAUAUUGUUUUAAAUCAGAACAUGCAAUGCUUCCAUACCAAUUUUAGAACUGUUUGCUCUAUUUCUGUGAAAAAUGUCAUUGAAAUUUUGAGAGGGAUUACAUUGCAUCUGUGGAUUGCUUUUCAUACCCUUGCUUUUAACCAGUAAACUCCCUGUCUGACUUUUUAGCAUAUUGAUCUUUGCAUGAGGUUUCAAUUGAUGAAACAGCUCCUUUGUUGGUUCAUGAAAUCUCUUCAUUUUACAGAUGAGGAAAUAUCCUUUUUGAAAGGAUUAUGUUGAGGAAUUUGUCCCUUUCAUGGCAAAUAAUUAUAACACCCUCAAAGUGGCAACAAUAAAAAUAUAUUAUUCAUUUCUGUGUAGGGAUGGUGGGCCAAUCGAUUAUACUGAGAUCAUUGUAUUCUGCUCUAGGUGUACAGUAUUUAAAAAUGAUGGGGGAGUUCCCGUCGUGGCGCAUCGGAUUCGUUAACCACUGAGCCACAAUGGGAAGUCUGAGGUCAGGCUUUGAACUCAAAUCCUCAUGGACACUAUGUUGAGUUCUUGAACUCUGUUUUAAUACUUAGUUUUUAAAUGGUAAUUAUUAAGAAUCAGGAUACUCUAUAUAAAAUUUAAUAUUCUGUUUUUUCAAGAUUACAAUUUGGAUCAAAUCUAUGACAUUAAGUUUUUAAAAACUGAAAUCAAAUUUAAGAGAGAUUGCAGUGUUCCCUUCGUGGCUCAGCGGUUAAUGAACCUGACUAGGAUCCAUGAGCAUGUGGGUUUGAUCCCUGGCCUUGCUCAGUGGGUUAAGGAUCUGGUGUUGCCAUGAGCUGUGGUGCAGGUCACAGAUGUGGCUUGGAUCCUGCAUUGCUGUGGCUGUCACAUAGGCUGGCAGCUAUAGCUUCGAUUAGACCCCUAGAUGGGAAUUUCCAUAUGCCGCAGGUAUGGCCCUAAAGAGCAAAAAAAAAAAAAAAAGAAGAGAGAGAUGAUUACAUAUUUCACACUUUUCUUUAAUCAUCUAUGAAAUCCCUUCCAGUUACCAGCAAAAUACUGAUUUGUUAAGGCCUUUUCCCUUAAUAUCCUUUAGGGAUUCCUGAGUCCUGUAUGAAGUGACCUUAUUUUUUUCCUUUGGUCCCACAGGAAUUUCUCAAUUAGAAAUGGAGAUAAAAAUUUUAAGGGACAUUCCAAUAUAGCUGAAACAGCAAUGUUUUCUCUUCUGGAGUUUCAGUAUGAAGUUAUGAGAGCUUCACUGCUUUCAGAUUGAAUACAUACUUACUUGAAUAACUUCACAUCUCUUUGUGUAGCAUUAAAAAAAAAAAUCCCUUCUUCCUUCUCACCCUUAUCUGUACCAUAGAGUAGCAAAACCAAAAUGCCAGAUCUUAGUAGUAGGCAGAGAGAGGGUGAUUUUCUCUUUCCCUUUAAUUUGUAUGUCUUGUUUAGAGCAAGAAGGAAAGAGGGUGAUUUAAAAAUGUACAUGAAGGGUCCUUCGUGUGAUUAAAUGCCCCAGAAAGCUCACUGAAUUUGAAGUUCUUUUUUUUUUUUUUUCUUGUGUAACUGGGUCCCCAUACUGUACAGUGGGGAAAAAAAAAUUGUGUUGGGGGAAAUAACAAUAGAAAAAAAAAAAAAGAGGAGAAGACUGAAACUUAGAUGUGCAACAACAACAGCAACAGAAAUGUACAUGAAGGGUCCUUUAUGUGAUUAAAUGCCCAAGAAAGCUCAUUGAAUUUGAAGUUCUUUUUUUUUUUUUUUCUUUCUUGCUAGGAAAGACUUCUGCCCUUACUUCUUCUUUUGAGAGCAUUUAAAUUAGGAAGUAACCUCAUUUGAUGUCUGCUCCUUCCAGCUACCACCCUUAGCUAAUUUUAGUUUUUGCCAGAGUUUUAAACAAACAGUUUGGGGAAUUCCAUGUGAUGCAAGAUCCUAGCCUCUUAGAAUUUUAGAGCUGUGUCAGAUAUGUUUUAGAGGAGUUCCCAUUGUGGUUCGGUGGGUUAAGAACCCGACAUAGUGUCUCUGAGGUUGCGGGUUCCAUCCCUGGCCUCGCUCAGUGGGUUAGGGAUCUGGCAUUACUAUGAGCUGUGGAGUAGGUCACAGAUGUGGCUCCAGAUCCCACAUUGCUGUGCCUGUGGGAUAGAGCAACAGCUGCAGCUCCUAUUCGACCCCUAGCCUGGGAACUUCCAUAAUCUACAUGUGCUGCGGCCUUAAAAUGAAAAAUGAAAAAAAAAAAAA